rnacentral:rRNA from 1 species
UUCCUUGGAAAAGGACAGCUGAGAGGGUGAAACUCCCGUCCGCCUGGUAGAAUGAGUCUUUGUCAACGAGUCGAGUUGUUUGGGAUUGCAGCUCUAAUUUGGUGGUAAAUUCCAUCUAAAGCUAAAUAUUGGUGGGAGACCGAUAGCGUACAAGUACCGUGAGGGAAAGAUGCAAAGAACUUUGAGAAGAGAGUUAAAGAGUACCUGAAAUUGCUGAAACGGAAGCGAAGGAAACCAGUGUUUGUUGGUUCAUAUUUCCUUGGCCACUUGUGGUUUGGGCG